GAGUGUAAAUGUGAAUAAAGUCAGUCACAAAGCGCGUCGCGGCUACGAACCGAGAGGGCAAACAGUUCGGCCGGCGUCGCCUCUCGAAAGAGACGUUUGCGCCAGCCGCCAUUUUCCGAAAACGUGCGUUUUCCGGCCCGCACCGGCUUUGUUUUAUUCCGCAACUAUAGUACUUUGACAGUCAUUAAAAUUCAUGAUAAUGGACAUUUUCCGAUAGACGUUCAAUUUAAAUGCAAAUUUGAAUGAUGCAGUCCAAAAUUCGGUGGGCCGAAUCGAGUGCAAGGGUAGAAGUCCUUCAGCGCCGAUGACCAAACAAGGUUCACGGAGCGUGGACGACGAGCAUGGCGAACGCUACCGACGCGUACUGCGUGCCCGGCGCCACCAACUUCAACAAGGCCUACAGCCGUCUGCACGGCUACAUUGCGCUGGUCAUCUGCAUCGUCGGCUCGGCCACCAAUUCCAUCAACAUUGCCGUCCUCAGCCGCCGAGAAAUGACCAGCUCCACAAACUCCAUACUGACAGGACUCGCCGUCGCAGACCUUCUAGUCAUGUUAGAAUACAUACCCUACGCUCUACACAUGAAUAUCAAAAUCGGACCUCAAGUUAACAAGAACACGUACGCGUGGGCCGUUUUCGUUUAUUUCCAUUCCAUAUUCAGUCAAACCUUUCACACGAUCUCAAUUUGGCUAGCGGUGACCCUAGCGGUGUGGCGAUACGUCGCGAUAGCUUUCCCACAGAAAAACAGAACUUGGUGUAGCAAGAGAAACACUACGUUAGCAAUAGUGAGCGCCUAUAUUAUGUGUCCAUUCUUGUGUCUUCCUAUUUAUUUCGCAAUGAAUAUAGUGCCCAGUGAAGUGACCCCACAAAACAAUUCUCAAUUUGCUGAAGACCUUUCAUUACCACAAAAUCGAACGGUAUAUGUGUUGGAAAUGUCUAAAAACGUAGAGUUAGUUACAGCAAUAAUGUGGAUUUAUAGUGUGAUACUAAAACUUGUUCCAAGUAUAGCUUUAUCGAUAUUGAGUACGUGUCUAAUAUCAAAGUUAACAACGACAGAGAGGAAAAGACAAAAAUUACUGAAGCGUUCAACAGUCGGCCCCAACGAGCCAGAAAAGCAAUGUUUGGCGGAGGAGUCGUGUGCGCGGCGUGCGAGUAGAACGGACCGCACAACUCGCAUGCUGCUGGCCGUGUUGGGGCUCUUCCUGUCUACGGAGGUGCCGCAGGGGCUGCUGGGCUUGGCCAGCGCCCUCGCUCCAGACUUCUUCAAGAGCUGCUACAACAUGUUCGGCGACCUAAUGGACGUGCUGGCACUGUUCACGUCGUCAGUGAACUUCGUGCUGUACUGCAGCAUGAGCCGCCAGUUCCGCUGCACGUUCGCGCGGCUGGCGCGGCGAAUGCUCUCCGCGGCUGAGGAACCCGCCAAGUUCGCCACUAAGCUCGAGCCCACCACGCAGGUCACCGGGCCGCUAUAGCGACAGUUACCCGCCCUUAUAAGGGUGGUCGAAGAGAGUAUUAUAUGAAGCGAAGGUACUCGUGCUCUCUAUAAAUUAUUAAAUAGACUUUAAUAAGUAAUAAAUGUAAUAGACUCUAAAAACUUUAAGUCAUUAUUGUAUUGUAAGUAUUUGUUUUUAUAAAGUCCUAUAGUAUUAAAUUGUGUUUAAUAUAAGUACUUAUUAAUGUACCUAAAUAUACAUGUUUCCUAGGUUUUGCGUCAUUUGAGCCAUGACCCAAAACCUAGAUUUAUUCGAAGUUUAUAUUGUAGGCAAAAUGUAAAACAUACGUUAAAUUUCCUAUCAUUUAUACAUAUUUACUUCUAGGGUCCAAAGAGUGAUUUAAUUAGUUUGAAUAAGUAAACGAAUUUAUGUACCCAAAUCAUGUAGAUAUUGCAUUUAUAUAAGUAUGUCAAUUGUAUGUAGGUACAUUGACGUGUUGUACUUUCUCAAGUCGUUAUCUUGUAAAUAGUUUUUCUUGUCUUUUUUUACAACUUAUGAUCUUUUUAAAAUCAAUGUAGUAUUAUUGUUCAGUCAUCAUUCAUGGUCGUGUUGUACAAUGUAAAAAUCUUUCACGAAAUAAAAGAUAUCAAACAAA